CCCCUCUUGGGGUCACACCUGGAGAGUUUCCAGUACUCUACCGGUCUCGACUACCGGAGGGAAAGUCAAGCACAGGCCUAUUCAUUCCAUUCCUAGCUUGGGCAGUGGCUAGUUAGUGGAAAGCAAUCUGCUACACAU